CCUACGGGAGGCUGCAGUAGGGAAUCUUUCACAAUGGGCGAAAGCCUGAUGGAGCAACGCCGCGUGAAGGAUGAAGGCCUUCGGGUUGUAAACUGCUUUUAUAAGCGAGAAAUAUGAUGGUACCUUAUGAAUACGGAUCGGCUAACUACGUGCGAGCAGCCGCGGCCAUACGUAGGAUCCGAGCAUUAUCCGGAGUGACUGGGUGUAAAGAGUUGCGUAGGUGGCAGAAUAAGUAGCUAGUGAAAUCUGGUGGGUCAACCAUUCAGACUAUUAGCUAAACUGUUAAGCUCGUGAUCGUUAGGGGUAACUGGAAUUUCUAGUGUAGGAGUGAAAUGCGUAGAUAUUAGGAGGAACACCAAUAGCGUAGGCAGGUUGCUGGCACGGUUCUGACACUAAGGCACGAAAGCGUAGGGAGCAAACGGGAUUAGAUACCCCAGUAGUC
rnacentral:rRNA from 1 species